rnacentral:lncRNA from 1 species
CUCACUCCUGCUUAUUUCCCUGCAGGGACUAGGUUGGAAGGAAGACAAGGCAUUGCACUCACGCGAGGAGGAUUCAGUCUUGGUCCCUAGGGCGAUGGUGAUGAGGAGGAAGAAGGGAAUGGCAGCCACGGAGAUCUUCAUGCUGUGGGAAGCUGUUGCGGGAGGAGAGCUGGCCUGGUGGGAGCUUCAGAGGCUCCUGCGGUCCAGAAGGCAUUUCUGCAAGUUGGAAUAGGAAGUUAGAAGGUCCUUGAAGACUGUCUCGAAGAAUGAAGUAGUUACCAUGAAAUUGAUGGUGUAAAUAUGCAAGUGCAAAUGUGGAAUGAUAAGGAAACAAAAAGUAUUUCUCUUUGGGUUAAUAGAAAAAUAUCAAAAGGAAAUUAUGAGAAAAAUAACAAUUGUUAUGGGAUUAUAAUGGAUCAAAUGUUAAGUAAAGUAGAAAAUGGUGUGAACUGGGUAAAUGAUGGAGUAAAAGAAACUUUCUUGAAAUUGUAGCCAACCCUUUGAAGAUUAGCUAUUUCAGUAGAAGGG